rnacentral:rRNA from 1 species
GACGAACGCUGGCGGCGUGCCUAAUACAUGCAAGUCGAACGCAGUGGGGACGGGUGAGGAACACGUGGGUAACCUCCCAUCAGAGGGGAUAACACUUGGAAACAGGUGCUAAACCGAUAGUGAUGGAUGGACCCGCGGGGCAUUAGCUAGUUGGUGAGGUAACGGCUCACCAAGGCCACGAUGCAUCGCCCACCGGAGAGGGUGAUCGGCAACACUGGGACUGGGACACGCCCCAGACUCCUACGGGAGGCAGCAGUAGGAAAUCGUCGGCAAUGGACGAAAGUCUGACCGAGCAACGCCGCGUUAGUGAAGAAGGUUUUCGGAUCGUAAAACUCUGUUGUUAGAGAAGCGGUAUCUAACCAGACAGCCACGGCUAACUACGUGCCAGCAGCCGCGGUAAUAC